rnacentral:rRNA from 1 species
AACGAACGCUGGCGGCAUGCCUAACACAUGCCAGUCGAACGAGACCUUCGGGUCUAGUGGCGCACGGGUGCGUAACGCGUGGGAACCUGCCCUUAGGUUCGGAAUAACUCCCCGAAAGGGGUGCUAAUACCGGAUAAUGUCUUCGGACCAAAGAUUUAUCGCCUUUGGAUGGGCCCGCGUUGGAUUAGCUAGUUGGUAGGGUAAAAGCCUACCAAGGCGACGAUCCAUAGCUGGUCUGAGAGGAUGAUCAGCCACACUGGAACUGAGACACGGCCCAGACUCCUACGAGAGGCAGCAGUGGGGAAUAUUGGACAAGGGGCGAAAGCCUGAUCCAGCAAUGCCGCGUGAGUGAUGAAGGCCUUAGGGUUGUAAAGCUCUUUUACCCGGGAUGAUAAUGACAGUACCGGGAGAAUAAGCUCCGGCUAACUCCGUG